CCUACGGGUGGCAGCAGUGAGGAAUAUUGGUCAAUGGGCGCGAGCCUGAACCAGCCAAGUAGCGUGAAGGAUGACUGCCCUACGGGUUGUAAACUUCUUUUAUAAAGGAAUAAAGUGAGGCACGUGUGCCUUUUUGUAUGUACUUUAUGAAUAAGGAUCGGCUAACUCCGUGCCAGCAGCCGCGGUAAUACGGAGGAUCCGAGCGUUAUCCGGAUUUAUUGGGGUUAAAAGGGGCGGAGAUGGGUUGUUAAGUCAGUUGUGAAAGUUUGCGGCCCAACCGUAAAAUUGCAAUUGAUACUGGCAGUCUUGAGUGGAGUUGAGGUAGGCGGAAUUCGUGGUGUAGCGGUGAAAUGCUUAGAUAUCACGAAGAACUCCGAUUGCGAAGGCAGCAUACUAACUUGCCACUGACAUUGAUGCUCGAAAGUGUGGGUAUCAAACAGGAUUAGAUACCCUUGUAGUC
rnacentral:rRNA from 1 species